UGGGGAAUAUUGCACAAUGGGCGCAAGCCUGAUGCAGCCAUGCCGCGUGUGUGAAGAAGGCCUUCGGGUUGUAAAGCACUUUCAGCGAGGAGGAAGGUGGUGAGCUUAAUACGCUCAUCAAUUGACGUUACUCGCAGAAGAAGCACCGGCUAACUCCGUGCCAGCAGCCGCGGUAAUACGGAGGGUGCAAGCGUUAAUCGGAAUUACUGGGCGUAAAGUGCACGCAGGCGGUUUGUUAAGUCAGAUGUGAAAUCCCCGGGCUCAACCUGGGAACUGCAUUUGAAACUGGCAAGCUAGAGUCUCGUAGAGGGGGGUAGAAUUCCAGGUGUAGCGGUGAAAUGCGUAGAGAUCUGGAGGAAUACCGGUGGCGAAGGCGGCCCCCUGGACGAAGACUGACGCUCAGGUGCGAAAGCGUGGGGCAGCAAACAGGAUUAGAUACCCUGGUAGUCCAGCGCUGUAAACGAUGUCGAUUUGGAGGUUGUGCCCUUGAGGCGUGGCUUCCGGAGCUAACGCGUUAAAUCGACCGCCUGGGGAGUACGGCCGCAAGG
rnacentral:rRNA from 1 species